GUUUUAAUAAUUUAAUAAAAAUAUUAGUCUUGUAAACUAAACUUAGAGGAAAAUCUUUAAAACU
rnacentral:tRNA from 1 species